CCUACGGGAGGCAGCAGUGGGGAAUUUUGGACAAUGGGCGCAAGCCUGAUCCAGCAAUGCCGCGUGCAGGAUGAAGGCCUUCGGGUUGUAAACUGCUUUUGUACGGAACGAAACGGUCUGCUCUAAUACAGUGGGCUAAUGACGGUACCGUAAGAAUAAGCACCGGCUAACUACGUGCCAGCAGCCGCGGUAAUACGUAGGGUGCGAGCGUUAAUCGGAAUUACUGGGCGUAAAGCGUGCGCAGGCGGUUAUAUAAGACAGAUGUGAAAUCCCCGGGCUCAACCUGGGACCUGCACUUGUGACUGUAUAGCUAGAGUGCGGCAGAGGGGGAUGGAAUUCCGCGUGUAGCAGUGAAAUGCGUAGAUAUGCGGAGGAACACCGAUGGCGAAGGCAAUCCCCUGGGCCUGCACUGACGCUCAUGCACGAAAGCGUGGGGAGCAAACAGGAUUAGAUACCCUGGUAGUCCACGCCCUAAACGAUGUCAACUGGUUGUUGGGUCUUCACUGGCUCAGUACGAAGCUAACGCGUGAAGUUGACCGCCUUGGGGAGUACGGCGCGAGGUUAGACGUUAAGGUAAGUUAGGNGGCGNGAGACGNGCGACGGCGACGACGAGGGAGGAGG
rnacentral:rRNA from 1 species